UCCCCGUUACCGGGGCAGUCUAGCUAGAUAAAUUCAACUAACUACAAGGGUUGCGCUCGUUGAUGGACUUAACCAAACAUCUCACGACACGAGCUGACGACGGCCAUGCAACACCUGUCUCUACGGCCCGAAGGCACAGUCACCUUUCGGUGACCUUGGUAGGAUGUCAAACCUGGGUAAGGUUCUUCGCUUAUCAUCGAAUUAAACAACACGCUCCACCGCUUGUGCGGGUCCCCGUCAAUUCCUUUAUGUUUUAGUCUUGCGACCGUACUCCACAGGCGGGAUGCUUAACGCGUUAGCUUCGCUACUACACGGGUCGAUACGUAUAACAGCUAGCAUCCAUCGUUUACGGCGUGGACUAC
rnacentral:misc_RNA from 1 species